rnacentral:rRNA from 1 species
AUUGAACGCUGGCGGCAGGCCUAACACAUGCAAGUCGAGCGGAUGAAGGGAGCUUGCUCCUGGAUUCAGCGGCGGACGGGUGAGUAAUGCCUAGGAAUCUGCCUGGUAGUGGGGGAUAACGUCCGGAAACGGGCGCUAAUACCGCAUACGUCCUGAGGGAGAAAGUGGGGGAUCUUCGGACCUCACGCUAUCAGAUGAGCCUAGGUCGGAUUAGCUAGUUGGUGGGGUAAAGGCCUACCAAGGCGACGAUCCGUAACUGGUCUGAGAGGAUGAUCAGUCACACUGGAACUGAGAAACGGUCCGGACUCCUACGGAAGGCGGCGGUGGGGAAAAUUGACCAAUGGCGAAAGCCUGAUCCAGCCAUGCCGCGUGUGUGAAGAAGGUCUUCGGAUUGUAAAGCACUUUAAGUUGGGAGGAAGGGCAGUAAGUUAAUACCUUGCUGUUUUGACGUUACCAACAGAAUAAGCACCGGCUAACUUCGUG